rnacentral:lncRNA from 1 species
UGGGAUGCGGAAAGCAGGAAACAGAGAGAGGAUGAUAAACCAGUGGUUUGAAUGCCCUGGCUGGGGACAUGAUUAUUCUGAAUAAAAGUGGAAUUCUCUCCACAAGGAAGAAGAAAGGAAAAGAUCUCAGGACGUCUCCAACGUUGCAGCUGUUAAAGAUGAAGAGGGCAGAGGUGAAGAAGGCAACUUGGAGAAGGUGGCGAAAAAAGUACAUUUUCCCCCGGUCCCUAGCAGUAAAGGAAAUCCACAUUGACUGAGUACCCUCCCGGGUGAGUCGUGGCCUGGGAACUUUCACAGAACUACUGUCCUGAAUUGCUACCACCAUCCUGUGAAGUAGGUAUCAUUAUUCCCAUUUCACAGAUGAGAAAAGCUGAGGCUCAGAGAGAUAGAGUC